rnacentral:lncRNA from 1 species
UUGUCAACCCCAUCUUUUCCUACAAAAAGAAAACCCAAUUCUUUCUCCUGAAAAUUGAACAAGUUACAUCAUUAGCCGCCGUUGUGUACUGUUGUCGAUCAACCACCACUGUUUUUUUAUUACUACUAAAACUUUAAUACUCUGUCAUUUUGUUUAAUUAUACGGAGGAAUAAUUUCAGCUUGCUCUUAUACUCCGUAGUUAGUUGGCCACAUUAAAAAAUAAUGUU